rnacentral:rRNA from 1 species
AUUGAACGCUGGCGGCAUGCCUUACACAUGCAAGUCGAACGGCAGCACGGGUGCUUGCACCUGGUGGCGAGUGGCGAACGGGUGAGUAAUACAUCGGAACAUGUCCUGUAGUGGGGGAUAGCCCGGCGAAAGCCGGAUUAAUACCGCAUACGAACUACGGAUGAAAGCGGGGGCCCUUCGGGCCUCGCGCUAUAGGGUUGGCAGAUGGCUGAUUAGCUAGUUGGUGGGGUAAAGGCCUACCAAGGUGACGAUCAGUAGCUGCUAGGAGAGGAAGACCAGCCACCUGGGCACUGAGACACGGCCCAGACUCCUGCGGGAGGACGCAGUCGAGACUUUUGCGCGAUGCGCGAAUGCCUGAUCCAGCAAUGCCGCGUGUGUCAUGAAGGCCUUCGGGUGGUAGAGCACUUUUGUCCGUAAAGAAAUCCUUCGCCCUAAUACGGUCGGAGGAUGACGGUACCGGAAGAAUAAGCACCGGCUAACUACGUG